AACCUGCCCUCGAAUCUGGGAUAACUUCGCGAAAGCGUCGCUAAUACCGGAUAUUGUCCUUUUUGCUUUAGCAUUUGGGAUGAAAGAUGACCUCUUCAUGAAAGUUGUCGUUUGAGGAGGGGCUCGCGUACCAUUAGCUUGUUGGUGGGGUAAUGGCCUACCAAGGCUGCGAUGGUUAGCUGGUCUGAGAGGAUGAUCAGCCACACUGGAACUGAAACACGGUCCAG
rnacentral:rRNA from 1 species